rnacentral:rRNA from 1 species
AUUGAACGCUGGCGGCAGGCCUAACACAUGCAAGUCGAACGAGUGGCGGACGGGUGAGUAAUGGAUGGGAAACUGCCUGAUGGAGGGGGAUAACUACUGGAAAAGGUAGCUAAUACCGCAUACCAUCGGAGGUGCCCAGAUGGGAUUAGCUAGUAGGUGGGGUAAAGACUCACCUAGGCGACGAUCCGUAACUGGUCUGAGAGGAUGAUCAGUCACACUUGAACGGAGUCACGGUCCAGACGCCUACGGUAGGCAGCAGUGUGGAAUAUUGCACAAUGGGCGCAAGCCUGAUGCAGCCAUGCCGCGUGUAUGAAGAAGGCCUUCGGGUUGUAAAGUACUUUCAGCGGGGAGGCGUUACCCGCAGAAGAAGCACCGGCUAACUCCGUGCCAGCAGCCGCGGUAAUUC